CCUAUAUGUUGUCUUGCCUUGUUUAAAUCAUGCAGUUUCUUUUCCCAAAUUCGACUUCUGAGAUAUUAACUUUAUAAAUACCUAAAUUUCUCUCAUUCUCUCAUCAAUAUCCAAGCAAAAGAAGAAGACUGGUGUCAACAUAGUUUCUGAAGAAGGAAAAGAAAAACCGAAUACGAUGGAAAAACUCAAAUCUUUUUUCCAUAAGAAUGAACCUAAUCAUCACAAAGAAGACUCAAGUCAGACUUCGCCAUAUUUAACCAAAGCUUUAAACGAGGACCUAUCAUUUGGUCUGUUCAAAAUCCAGCAGAAGUUGGACCAGAGAAAGUUUAUCCAGCAGCAGUUGGAUCAGAAAAAGUUUAUCCUUCGGAAAAAAAUUGAUGAUCUUCAAGUCAAAGAAAAGCGGAUGAAGAAACUAAUGGAGAAGAGCAAAGAUGUGAACAGCAAGACAUUUCUUUAGCAUAUGCUUGACAAGGAAACAAAAGGAACAAAUUCAUGAUGUACACCAAUUUGAAUACAUGUUUAUGCUUUGAGAUAUCAAGUUUAUAUUGUU